rnacentral:rRNA from 1 species
GGUUAGUGGCGGACUGGUGAGUAACGCGUAAGCAAUCUGCCUAUUAGAGGGGAAUAACAGUGAGAAAUCACUGCUAAUACCGCAUAUGCCAUGAACAUCGCAUGAUGAAAAUGGGAAAGGAGUAAUCCGCUAAUAGAUGAGCUUGCGUCUGAUUAACUAGUUGGUGUGGUAAUGGCAUACCAAGGUAACGAUCAGUAGCCGGACUGAGAGGUUGAACGGCCACAUUGGGACUGAGAUACGGCCCAGACUCC